rnacentral:rRNA from 1 species
GAUCCUGGCUCAGGAUGAACGCUAGCUACAGGCUUAACACAUGCAAGUCGAGGGGGCGAGCAUUUUCAGUUUGCUUGCAAACUGAAGAUGGCGACCGGCGCACGGGUGAGUAACACGUAUCCAACCUGCCGAUAACUCGGGGAUAGCCUUUCGAAAGAAAGAUUAAUACCGGAUGGCAUAUGAUUAUCGCAUGAUAAUCCUAUUAAAGAAUUUCGGUUAUCGAUGGGGAUGCGUUCC